UUAAAGCCAAUAAUCCUAUCUCCCUGAAUUUGCAGUGGAGUGGAUUAAAAUCACAGAUCUUAUCUUUUUGAAGUUGCAGAGAGCAUAUCGCAUCGGGUCUUAUCUCCCUGAAGUUACAGUGGAGCAGACCCAAGAAAGCGAGUAUUAUCUCCCUGAAGUUGCAGUGGAGCAGACUCAAGAAAUCAAGUCUUAUCCCCCUGAAAUUGUAGUGGGGCAGACUAAAUAAACAAAUCCCGUC
rnacentral:lncRNA from 1 species